rnacentral:rRNA from 1 species
UACAGAGGUCCCAAGCGUUGUUCGGAUUCAUUGGGCGUAAAGGGUGCGUAGGUGGCGCGGUAAGUCGGGUGUGAAAUUUCGGAGCUUAACUCCGAAACUGCAUUCGAUACUGCUGUGCUUGAGGACUGGAGAGGAGACUGGAAUUUACGGUGUAGCAGUGAAAUGCGUAGAGAUCGUAAGGAAGACCAGUGGCGAAGGCGGGUCUCUGGACAGUUCCUGACACUGAGGCACGAAGGCCAGGGGAGCAAACGGG